CCUACGGGAGGCAGCAGUGAGGAAUAUUGGUCAAUGGACGAGAGUCUGAACCAGCCAAGUCGCGUGAAGGAUGACUGCCCUAUGGGUUGUAAACUUCUUUUAUAAAGGAAUAAAACGAGCCCCGUGUGCCUGUUUGCAUGUACUUUAUGAAUAAGAACCGGUUAACUCCGGGCCAGAAGCCGCGGUAAUACGGAGGAGCAGAGCGUUAUCCGGAUUUUUUGGGUUUAAAGGGAGCGUAGAUGGGUGGUUAAGCAAGUUGUGAAAGUUUGCGGCACAACCGGAAAAGUGCAAUUGAUACUGGCAGUCUUGAGUACAGUUGAGGUAGGCGGAAUUUGUGGUGUAGCGGUGAAAUGCUUAGAUAUCACGCAGAACCCCGAUUGCGAAGGCAGCUUACUAAUCUGUGACUGACAUUGAUGCUCGAAAGUGUGGGUAUCAAACAGGAUUAGAUACCCGGGUAGUC
rnacentral:rRNA from 1 species